GACGAACGCUGGCGGCGUGCUUAACACAUGCAAGUCGAACGAUGAAGCCGGAGCUUGCUCUGGUGAAUUAGUGGCGAACGGGUGAGUAACACGUGAGUAACCUGCCCUUGACUCUGGGAUAACUGCGGGAAGCUGUAGCUAAUGCCGGAUACGACCCUCGGAGGCAUCUCCUGGGGGUGGAAAGAAUUUCGGUCAAGGAUGGACUCGCGGCCUAUCAGCUAGUUGGUGAGGUAAAGGCUCACCAAGGCGACGACGGGUAGCCGGCCUGAGAGGGUGACCGGCCACGCGGGGACUGAGACACGGCCCAGACUCCUACGGGAGGCAGCAGUGGGGAAUAUUGCACAAUGGGCGCAAGCCUGAUGCAGCAACGCCGCGUGAGGGAAGACGGCCUUCGGGUUGUAAACCUCUUUUAGCAGGGAAGAAGCGAAAGUGACGGUACCUGCAGAAAAAGCACCGGCUAACUACGUGCCAGCCGCCGCGGUAA
rnacentral:rRNA from 1 species